AUGACAGAUGAACCAAUGGAACAAGACU
rnacentral:piRNA from 1 species